rnacentral:rRNA from 1 species
UGAAUACGAGACGCUAAGGCGUCGAAGUAGUGUAUGUCAUACUUCCAAGAAAAGCUUGCACUGUCAUAGAUAAAAAACGCCUGUACCAUAACCGACACAGGUGGGUAGGUAGAGUAUACUAAGGGGCGCGAGAUAACUCUCUCUAAGGAACUCGGCAAAAUAACUCCGUAACUUCGGGAGAAGGAGUGCCUUAUUCUUAAGGUUGCAAUAACAAGAUCCAAGCAACUGUUUAUCAAAAACACAGGUCUCCGCUAAGUCGUAAGACGAUGUAUGGGGGCUGACGCCUGCCCAGUGCCAGAAGGUUAAAGAAGCUGGUUAGCAAUUGCGAAGCUGGUGACUGAAGCCCUGGUGAACGGCGGCCGUAACUAUAACGGUCCUAAGGUAGCGAAAUUCCUUGUCGGGUAAGUUCCGACCCGCACGGAAGGCGUAAUGAUUUAGAUACUGUCUCGGAGAGGGGCUCGGUGAAAUAGACUUGUCUGUGAAGAUGCGGACUACCUGCACCAGGACAGAAAGACCCUAUGAAGCUUUACUGUAACUUGAAAUUGAAAUUGGACUUUAUUCGCGCAGCAUAGGUGGGAGGCGUUGAUUAUAAUCCUGCGGGAUUAUUGGAGCCAUUAGUGAGAUACCACUCUUGUAAUGUUAGAUUUCUAACUUUGAAUCAUUAUCUGGUCAAAGGACAGUUUCAGGCGGGCAGUUUGACUGGGGCGGUCGCCUCCCAAACGGUAACGGAGGCGUACAAAGGUUUCCUCUGAACGGUUAGAAAUCGUAUCUAGAGUGUAAAGGCAUAAGGAAGCUUGACUGUGAGACCUACAAGUCGAGCAGGGACGAAAGUCGGUCUUAGUGAUCUGACGGUACUGAGUGGAAAGGCCGUCACUCAACGGAUAAAAGUUACUCUAAGGAUAACAGGCUGAUCUCCCCCAAGAGUUCACAUCGACGGGGAGGUUUGGCACCUCGAUGUCGGCUCAUCGCAUCCUGGGGCGGUAGUACGUCCCAAGGGUUGGGCUGUUCGCCCAUGAAGGCGGUACGCGAGCUGGGUUCAGAACGUCGUGAGACAGUUCGGUCCAUAUCCGGUGUAGGCGUUAGAAUAUUGAGAGGAGCCUUCUUUAGUACGAGAGGACCGAGAAGGACAUACCUCUGGUGUACCAGUUAUCGUGCCAACGGUAAACGCUGGGUAGCUAUGUAUGGAGUGGAUAACCGCUGAAAGCAUCUAAGUGGGAAGCCCACCUCAAGAUAAGUAUUCUCAUCA